AUGAUAUCCUAUCGGUGUCCCGCGCCGCCGCCGCCGCCGCUGCGGCCGCCGCGUAGAUUCGAUCCCCGAGCUCCUCCUCAUCCUUGUCUCAUGGCCUCCUCGGCUUCCUCCUUCAUCUCCCCAGCAGCCCUCCCAGCCACCACUCCACCUCCACCCCCCGCUCCCUGCCCCCCUCCCGAUCCAGAUCCAGAUCCCUCGCUUGCUGCCGCCGUUGGAGGGCUGGAGGCUCCCGUCCCUUGCUCCCUGGGGUGCUCUGAGCUCCUGCUGCCACCUUCUCCACCUCGCCUUCCCGCGAACUCUACGCCAAAGCUGGUUGCCGAGGCACCUGUGGCGUCUUCCGAGCAGCCUUGGGUGGAGGUUGGGGGACAGCAUCGUUUGCGGAUGGAGAAUGCGCCUGCUCCGUCUCCCAGGAAAGGGGUCGGUGUCUCCCUCGCCUUCAAGAGGAGAACGUAUGGCCGCUGCUUCCGUUGCCUCGCGUCGGAGCACUUUGUGGCUGACUGCCGCGGCCCUAUAAGGUGCCUGGGUUGUGGCAUCUCUGGCCACCGCGAGCGGGAGGGCCCGACGCGUCUUCCGGCCAAACAAGCUUCAACCCGCCACUCCCCCUCGCCUGCGGCCUCUCCAUGUCGGUCACCGGAUGCGCCACCCUGCCACGCACCUCCGCCAUAUCCGCCACAUCGCUCGUGGGCCUCCGUUCCUGCCUCUCCGGCUGUGCUCCUUCAGGAGGCGCCUUGUAGCAACUCCGGCUCCCCCUGCUCAGGUCUUGCCGACCUCGUCAAGUCUUCCAUUGGUGCUGAAUUGGGGCUGCUGCAACCCCACUUUGCAGCUCAGAUCGAGGCCCUGCGCACCAAGGUGCAAGCACUGGCUGCCACUCGUACAUAG
rnacentral:rRNA from 1 species